GCGGGCGCGUCACCGUUGGAGAGGUGAGGUCGGCUGUAACCCGGCUGCUUCGGCUCAGGGGGUUCGAUUCCCUCCGCCCGCACCA
rnacentral:tRNA from 1 species